rnacentral:rRNA from 1 species
UACGGAGGGUGCAAGCGUUAUCCGGAUUCACUGGGUUUAAAGGGUGUGUAGGCGGGUAUUUAAGUCAGUGGUGAAAUCUCCAGGCUCAACCUGGAAACUGCCAUUGAUACUAUUUAUCUUGAAUAUCGUUGAGGUAGGCGGAAUAUGUCCAUGUAGCGGUGAAAUGCUUAGAGAUGACAUAGAACACCAAUUGCGAAGGCAGCU